rnacentral:miRNA from 1 species
AAGGGGGGGGGGGGGAGGA